UCAAGAACACUAACUUAACUAAAUAAAUUACCUACAAACAAUUAAUUUCAUUCACUAAAACUAAAUUAUACAUCAUAUAUUGUUGCCGGAAUUCGAUUAACCGGAAAUGGGGCUGGUGGCCGGAGGUCGACUGGCAGUGUGGAGAGAGGCGGCGAGGGCUGGGUGGCGUGCAGUGGAUCUGCUGUCUCUCGCCAGUCACACAGAGAUAGACGCAGGGAAGAAAAAAAGAAAAGAAAAGAAAAGAAAAGAAAGAAAGAAAGAAGAAAAGGAAGAAAGGAGGAGGUGGUGGUGGUGCGGUGGUGGGCUAGAGGUGGCGCAGAAAUGGUGGGUGAGAAAUGAAGGUGCAGCGCUGGAUAUAA